GACGAACCGAGCGAACGUUAUUCGGAAUCACUGGGCUUAAAGGGCGCGUAGGCGGGCGGUCAAGUCAGGGGUGAAAGCCCCCAGCUCAACUGGGGAAGUGCCUCUGAUACUGGCCAUCUUGAGGGAGGUAGGGGCGUGCGGAACUUCCGGUGGAGCGGUGAAAUGCGUAGAUAUCGGAAGGAACACCGGUGGCGAAAGCGGCGCGCUGGACCUCUUCUGACGCUGAGGCGCGAAAGCCAGGGGAGCAAACGGG
rnacentral:rRNA from 1 species